UACAGGGGGUGCAAACGUUGCUCGGAAUUAUUGGGCGUAAAGCGCGCGUAGGCGGCUACUUAAGUCGGAUGUGAAAGCCCCUGGCUCAACUGGGGAAGUGCACCCGAAACUGAAUGGCUUGAGUGCGAAAGAGGGUCGCGGAAUUCCCAGUGUAGCGGUGAAAUGCGUAGAUAUUGGGAGGAACACCGGUGGCGAAGGCGGCUACCUGGACCGGUUCUGACGCUGAUGCGCGAAAGCGUGGGUAGCAAACAGG
rnacentral:rRNA from 1 species